UACGUAGGGGGCAAGCGUUGUCCGGAUUUAUUGGGCGUAAAGAGCGUGUAGGCGGCCAUACAGGUCCGUUGUGAAAACUGGAGGCUUAACCUCCAGACGUCGAUGGAAACCGUAUGGCUAGAGUCCGGAAGAGGCGAGUGGAAUUCCUGGUGUAGCGGUGGAAUGCGCAGAUAUCAGGAGGAACACCGAUGGCGAAGGCAGCUCGCUGGGACGGUACUGACGCUGAGGCGCGAAAGCGUGGGGAGCGAACAGG
rnacentral:rRNA from 1 species